UAUCUGAUCUUUUCCAGAUCCGAAAAGUAGUCCAGUGCUUAUUCAGCACAGUACACUUUCACAAGUACCCCCCCUCCUCCAUGUCUCACAGAAGAGGAUUUGGGGGGGUGCUUACAUUUUCUGUCAAAGAUUCAAGUAAACAGAGGUCCGGCUCAGGUUUGCUGACAGUUAAAUAAAAAAAUACUCUUGCAAAGACACUUAAGCCGGGUCAGAAUAUGUCUAUUAGAUUUUCAGAGUGUGUGUAAUGUUUUCAUAUUAAAUUAAGUAAAAAUGCUCAAUAAAAAAAAA